UUUAUUGGAGAGUUUGAUCCUGGCUCAGGAUGAACGCUGGCGGCGUGCCUAAUACAUGCAAGUCGAGCGAAUGGAUUGAGAGCUUGCUCUCAAGAAGUUAGCGGCGGACGGGUGAGUAACACGUGGGUAACCUGCCCAUAAGACUGGGAUAACUCCGGGAAACCGGGGCUAAUACCGGAUAACAUUUUGAACCGCAUGGUUCGAAAUUGAAAGGCGGCUUCGGCUGUC
rnacentral:rRNA from 1 species